CUAAGUUUGAUGGCGACCGGCGCACGGGUGAGUAACACGUAUCCAACCUGCCGAUAACUCUGGAAUAGCCUUCGAAAGAAAGAUUAAUACCGGAUAGUAUACGAAUAUCGCAUGAUAUUUUUAUUAAAGAAUUUCGGUUAUCGAUGGGGAUGCGUUCCAUUAGGUUGUUGGCGGGGUAACGGCCCACCAAGCCUUCGAUGGAUAGGGGUUCUGAGAGGAAGGUCCCCCACAUUGGAACUGAGACACGGUCCAAACUCCUACGGGAGGCAGCAUG
rnacentral:rRNA from 1 species